rnacentral:lncRNA from 1 species
GUGGCUUCUGGAGUCUUCUAGAUGAUAGAAAAUUGUGCGGCACAUUAAUAUCUCUAUGUAAACCCGACGUGUGGGCCUUUCUUCCUUAUUUCCUGUUAACCCCCUGCAGAAAUAGACAAACACCAAAACUCGUGGAAUUCUGUCAGAUAAGACCCUAAGUUGAGAUGUUGGUUGUAUUUGGAUCCUUUUCUUUGUUUAUUUUCUGAUUAUAUUUGGUACUUAAGGACCGUCAACAACUCCCCCAAGCUUACCUCUUGCUCGACCCUGAGCAAGGAUGGACUCAAGAGUUUCUACAGUGGUUUUAUGCCUUAAAGGUACACAUGCGUUCAAACAAGAUCUCAUCUCUGGGUUACGGUAAACUGUUAAGAUUUAAAAUUACUCAUAUUACCUUCCACCAUGGGGCUUGCAACCGUCACUUGUGUCUUGAGCAGUUAAAAGAUAGAACGGUCAAGUCAAGCACCAUGUCUCUUAAUCUUGAUCAACUAUAGCUCUGGAGUUUUUGCAGAUUUUCAAAUAAAACUCAGAGAUUCCUUGUAUGACUCUCUCAAAUCUCUCUUUUGUGGUAUUUCUGGAUCCUUACCAAGGCAGUGAUGGUAUAUGCCUGCUCUCAAUGUAUGUGGUAUUUGUGGUAUGAGGCAUAAUGAUAUUGCCUUCUCUCUCACCCUACUCUAACAAGGUUUUGAUAUCUGGAGCUCAUAGGUGGGAGACAGCUAAUACAUACUUACAAGGCAUUUAUUGCAUAGCCAAACCAUGGAUCCAAAGAAACAAGUCAAUAAGUCAAAUCAAGAUGUGCAUGUGUGGCGAAUGAAUGGUGUAUGGUGAUGAUGGUGAUAAUGGUGAAAACAAUGGUGAAAGUCUAAUUCUACUUUUGCUCUUUUGACGGGAUACAUACCUUUCUUGCACUUUCAAGCUUUUUGAGGGGAAUGAGAUGCUCUAUAUUUUCUUUUUCUUUUCUCUCAGGUGGGUAUCUUGUACCCCUAAUUCUACUGUCAGACACUUGUCCAUUUUUACCUCUCAUCUCACUUUUUCUUUUCUUUCGAGGUUCCGGGCACUUGCCCCUUUUUAUUUCCUCGUAUUUUUUUCUCUUUUUUUUCAGAGCACUCACCCUCCGAGAAUAAUAUAGCAAGUGGUAGUAACCAAAAUAUCUCGAGCAUUUAUUUCACGGGGAAUAACAGGGAUAGGAUAAUGCUUUUGGCUAUUCUCUCCUUGAUAGGAGUAGAAUAAUUUUGGGUGAAUCUGGAGAUGGAAAGGAUUGGAUGUAUGUGGAUGCAUACUUUCGGAGUAGAAGCAGCAUGUAUGAGUGAAUGUGCAAGUGAAUCUUGAUUUUAACCACAUGACAAGCUCCUAAGGGUCUACACAGCUUGACCACACUCAAUGCUCGUAAGCAGUAAAAAGUAAAUGUAUGGUUCAUAGUCUAAUAAGCAUGUAUAUAUGGCUGUGGUGGGAUUUUAAACUCUCAUCAUACAGGAACUCAUCAUGCAACAUUUUAAAGAUUUUCAACGAUAAAAUUCUCCAGAAAUCUAGCAUCUCUAGGAACAGAUAAAUAGCAGCUCAACCAUCCCAUAUCAUAUCCGUUAACGACUUAUACUUUAGAUCAAGUACUCUUCCCACAAGUUCAGGUUUUAGAGAAAAUCUAAAUUCAUAACAGUCGUACCUAAACUUGAGAGAGAUUUCACUUUUGAGAACUAGUCAUGGCAGAGCAACUAUUCAUCAUUUCCAUGUGAGAGCUUAUCAUGAGGGUUCAUAGCAAAUUUUAUUUAUUUAUUUAUUUAGCAAACUAAGAAAAGAUAUAUAUAUAUAAGCAUAAAAUCUUUAUUUGGGUUUUUAUGAUUAUGCAUCUUUUUAUUAUUUUAACAAAGUAUAAGUAUAAACGUAGAUAGAAAUACUUAGCUAGAUAAAUGGGGGUGCUCUCCCCCAAGCUGGAUUUUGACGUAAUUUCUUUUAAUGUAGCUAGUAGGUGGCGGAGGUGUAUUUGAAUGUCAGCAGCACCCUGACAGCGAUUAGAAUGUCCUCCGUCUGCUAGUCUUCUUUGAUCCUUGAAUUCUGUGAAGCUCAAAUAGACAACAAAGCUUUGUGGAACUGGUUAAGUGUUAGCAUAAAAUCUCUUUGCCUUUAUCAUAUUGAGCUUCCUUUAAUAAAUAUUACUCUCUUUGGUAGGAUCAUAAAUUUAUUUUUAUAUUUUCAUUUUUAUAGGACAGGAAUAUAUUAAUUUUAUUUUUACGCCACCACAGUGAAUGUACUUAUGGGUUUUAUGCCACGAGCAUACUCACAUGGGGCUUUAGAUUUUAUGAUGCAGUGCAAUGAACAAAUAUUUUUUUUGUUUUCUUUUCUAAUGCUAAUGUGGAAAAGUAAAUAUGCUAAUGCAUGUGAUGGAAUAAAAAGGAAAAGGAAUGCAGAAAAGAUAAAUAUGGUUAAAUACCGAUUUUACCUUCUGGCAAGGAUCCAAUGUUUUAAGUCUUCUAGACAAGACUUCUCACCGUGUUCAUUCUUUAGGUGCGUCUUUUGAUCCAGGUGAGGACCUUGACGUCUGCACCUCUUGAUACGGUGUCACCCAUGUUCUUCGUUUGCCUAGCAGUUCGAAGUGUGGCAUUGGCAGCAUCCUGCUCAGUGUGUUUAUGCUCAUAGAUCCAGGCCCUUCACUUGGUGGAGUCUGGGAGUUGUAAAACUCCUCCAUGUUUUGCUCGAAGUGUACCUGCUCAUAGAGACAAGGCAGAGAUCAAGUGCAUGGGUCCUGUUGGUGGAAAACACCAACAGAACCAAAAGUAUAUUUAUUCUUCUCUAUCCUUAGGCAUAGGGAGCAAGACAACGUUGAUGGGUGAUAAGUUCAUGAGUGUAGCAUUUAAAACAUUUGCCGGAUCAGAUCGCUCAACCUAAUGGAAAGAUAAUCUAUCUAUAUAUAUGUCUUUUUCUUUAUAUCUUCCCAAAGAUUAAAUGUGCAACAUUUUAGCUCAUAUGACUAGGAGUGUGGGGAUCAAAGAUUAAGGGACUAAACAUGCUGAAUCAAUGGGGUUGG